rnacentral:rRNA from 1 species
CACGUAGGGGACGAGCGUUGUCCGGAUUCAUUGGGCGUAAAGCGCGCGUAGGCGGCUCGGAAAGUCGGUCGUGAAAUGCCGGGGCUCAACCCCGGGACUGCGUCCGAUACUCCCGAGCUGGAGGCAGGUAGGGGAGAUCGGAAUUCCUGGUGUAGCGGUGAAAUGCGUAGAUAUCUGGAGGAACACCGGUGGCGAAGGCGGCAUCCUGGACCGAGAUUGACGCUGAGGCGCGAAAGCCAGGGGAGCAAACGGG